GAUUAAGGAAAAGCCUAUUAAAUGUCAAAUUGUGUUAUGAUUUUACAAAUUAAGCACCAUAUUUUAAAACAAAUUGACAGAAAAAGCAGUUCAAUACAUGGUAAUGUUAUUUAUGAAUUUAGCACCAAAACAUUGCAAUGUACUGAAAACAUUGGCUACAAAAAACAUUGACUACUAAAAGGCAGACUGUGUUGGAUAAUACAGAACGUUGGAUAAGCAGAGGUUGGAUAAGUGAGACUCUACUGUAUAUUAAUUUAGUGGAGACUGUGCCUUUCCAUCACUCUUGCACUGGUACAUAGAUCCCUGCAGAGAGAAGAAAAUAACAUUAUACGUUAUCUGUUAUUUUUAUACUCAUGAAGGCAGCCCCUCCCCCCCUAUAUUCUUACAGCAACCUUAUGAAAAGGGUUAGGCAGAGAAUGAAUGCCCAGAUUAAUCUGAUUCUUUCAAAACCCACUCUAGCACUAUAACCAAUAUGUCAAUGACCUUCCUAUUAAAUAAGAUAACUAAGAAGUGAGGGUGUUUUUUUUUUUUUGCAGCAAUGUGAUCUCACUCUUAACAAAGGGCUGAUAAGAUAGAUUGAUGCCAUUAAUGCAAGCAUGGAAUUAAAACACGUAUGAACCAACAAGUGCCAUCAGAUUCAAUCUCCAUUUUCCCCAUCUUCCCCACUUGCAGAUUCAGCAACCAUUUGAGUUAUGCAAUGUAAGGGAAGUUCUAAUUCUCUGUAUAUUUAUCUGCCUUUGUGGCCUGUUGACUUAGGGUGCAUACACACUGUAGAAUUAAUGUAGUUUGAUACCAUUUUAACUGCCACAGCCCGAUACUAUUGAAUCCUAGGAUGUGUAAUUGGUUGAGAUACCAGCACUCUUUGGCAAAGAAGACUAGAGACCUUGUAAACUACAAACCCCAAUGAUUCCAUAGCAUUGAGCCAUAGCAAACUGCAUCAAUUCUCCUUUAAGGAUUCACCCUUUAACAGGAUUUACCUUUGUGUAUUAAAGAUAUGUUAUAGAAAGGUAUGGUAGGUUAGGGCUAUUUGGCAUUGCCUGCUUAAACAAUCUAUCCAAGGUUAUGUGAAGUGCAGGUGUUUGCUUAGGAAGAAGCCAGAUGUUUGCAUGCAGGGUAAUAGGUGAGCCUUCGACCUUUGCUCUCCUGAUAAUACACUGAAAUUGGGCUAACAGUUUGUUAGCUGAACGAAGAGGGUAGGACUACAGUCUUCCCUCCACAUUUGUGGUUUUGGCUUUUGUGGAUUUGUUUUAUCACAGAUCUGAUCAAAAUCUCUUGAGGAAUCUCUAGGUCCAAAAUGCAGUUCUGUAGUCAGCUUCCAGAAGAAGUUGACCAUAAAACCAUCCUGUAAGAUCUAAAAUUCCUAAAUAAGUGUUUUCUCAAGCCACAUAUAUCAAUUUCUUUGUUCAUGCUUUCUCACUUUCACAGGUUCCUGGGCAACUAAACCCAGUGAAGUUGGAAGGCUGACUGUACUGGACCUGUCUCAGCAUGCCAGACCAACUGUGUUGCUUUUCUGAUUUAAGCUGCACUCAACAAUUACCUUCUAUUCACUGCGAGUAUAAUAAUACAUUUACAUCACUGCUGGUGGGAAGAAUUAAUAUUUAUAUCAUUUCCUUAUCGCAAAUCACCUAUUAUAUCACAUUGACCCAGCAAAGAUAAACACAGGUGUGGGACCUUGAGGCAAGGACAAUGAUGAUGGGAACAAUUUGGAACAGGAAAGUGGCAAGCAGACUCUCUUAUCUACCAUUUCUCAGCCACAAAACACCCAGCACUCAAGUGCGGGGAAAGUAUGACAUAUAUUCCAAGGCUUUUAUGUGUGUGUGUAUCCAGAUGCCCUAAAUCAGUGCUUAUCAGGGUCUUUGAUGUAAGGGCCUGACCCUGACAAUAAUUUUCCCCUGUGUAUAUGGGACUAGCACUAUAUUGAUGCUCACUUGUUAGAAUUGAUUCUUUCUUUCCUGAAAACCACCCAGAGACUGGCUGCUGAUGACUCAGGACCUGAAACCAGUCCAGCCAGUAAAACAGGAGCGAGGAAGGUGCAGACCACCAAAUCAAUCCAAGCCAACAUAGUUAAUGGUGCAAACUGAUGGGAGUUGCAAUUCAGCAUCGUCAGGAAGACCACCCUUUGCCCACACCAGCUUUAAAGACCUCUCUCUUUCCUUUUGAGAACUUUAUGGCAAGCUUCUGAGAUUAUCUGGUUUAGAGAAACUUCAAAAGAGCAGAUUGCUGGCAAGCUAUGAAAGAGGCUCAUCAGGUUUUUUCUGUUACUGCAAACCAAGUUCAAAAGUUGGAUUCCAUGAACCUAACUCAGAAGAGGGGAGAGGAUGCGGCAGAAAUCUGCACUUCUCAAUAGACUCAAGCAAAAGCAAUCCUAGCUUGUAUAUUCUUCCUCCUUAAUACAUUUUGCCAUUUUGAUCACCUUGUGAUGUUGCCUGGCCUCCUUAUGUCCCAGUUUUCACCUGUCAAUGAUGGGAGGCUAUGCAAAUAGCAGGAACUGUAUCAGUAUGCUGUCCAGCACUUAGUGUCCUGUACAACAGAUGGACCUAACAUUGUUUCAGAACAUGGGCACAGGUAUGGGGAAGGUCAUAAUGCGAUCUCCUGUGUUAAAAAGGGUAGAAAGUUUAUAACAUUUUCCCCACUAAGUGGAAGAGAAAAAGACACUCUGAAAAACAUUCCCAGGAUAAUGUUUUAUGAGAAACAUUUUGAACAUUUCGAGCAAAUAGGUUCUUCCACCUUUUUGCAAUUAUUGUUUGUAUGUGUCUGUAAUGAUUUAAUAUUUUUUUAUAAGUUGCAUAUUUUUAUGUCAUUGGACUUGUGAGGUUACUCUGAAAAGCAAUAUAAAUAGUGAUAUAAACCAACGGUAUGUUUUAACAUGGCUGGCACUCUUCCUCAAUCUGCAGAGGAAGAGGUAACCAGCAAUCUUGGGCAAGUUGUUUCGAUGGGAAGCUUUGUUUGUUACUUAUCUCCUCACUGAUUAACAGUUAAACUUUUUAUGAAACGUUCUCUGGUCUCUCAAAGUAAGAUCCACACUGCCAAAGUAGCUAAGGGAUACUGGUUACGAAGGCUUAGGAUGGCCUAAGAUUUAAGUUAUUUCUUCAUGGGAAGAAGAAAUACAGAAGUGAUAUUUCCACAUCAACUUGCAGUGUUUCUGUUUAGCAAGGCUGUACAGAAAAUAUUCUCUUAAAAAACUUUUCUUUCAAAAUGGCUUGCUAUUAUCUGCAGUUUUGCAUAUUCACCCAAACUCUUUGUGGAUACGGGGGCCGUACUGUGUUGCUAAUUGGUCACCAUAUGUUGUGUUAUUAAUUCUAUAUAUUCCACUCUGUAAUUCUUAUGUAAUAUAAUAGGAGUUGCUCUUUUUUCC